AUUGAACGCUGGCGGCAGGCCUAACACAUGCAAGUCGAGCGAGCGGCGGACGGGUGAGUAAUGUAUGGGGACUGCCCGAUAGCGGGGGCUAACUACUGGAAACGGUGGCUAAUACCGCAUACUGUCGGAUAACCCAUAUGGGAUUAGCUAGUCGGUACGGUAAGGGCUUACCUAGGCGACGAUACCUAGCUGGUCUGAGAGGAUGAUCAGCAACACGGGGACUGAGACACGGCCCAGAGUCCUACGGAGGCAGAAGUGGGGAAUAUUGCACAAUGGGCGCAAGCCGGAUACAGCCAGGCCGCGGGUAUGAAGCAGGCCCUAGGGUUGUAAAGUACGUUCAGUGGGGAGGCGUUACCGACAGAAGAAGCACCGGCUAACUCCGUGCCAGCAGCCGCGGUAAUUC
rnacentral:rRNA from 1 species